AAUCUGUCGUUCGUCGUCGUUCGUUGAUCGUUCGGUUUCGCAUCUGAAAUGUUUUCGUCCUGUCAAAAAUAAAACGUACCUAGUUUUCGUUCAACGUCGUGUUUGCGUUAUCGCGUGCCCCCUUCCGAUUGUGUCGCUCGUGCUGAUAGAAAUAUAAAAUAGUAAAAGGUACGUUGGACGUAUAAUUUUGUAAACAUAGGCCAAACUAACCGAGUACUAUCCGUAGUGCGCUGUGGUCCGGUUAGGUUAGGUUAGGUCGUGUCGGCUCUCUAAUCACGAACUCUCAAACAUUUCGAUGUUGUAGGUACCUACAUACGUAUUAAUUUUUGACUCGCGUUUCUAUUAAUUUUCAUUACGGGACGGAAUAAAAUUACUUUUUUUUUUUUUUGAUACCACACCUACCACUACUGCUGCAAUACCGUGGAGACAAACCCCCGGCACGAUUAAACGCUUUGUGUACAUUCGUGUACAAGGUGUAAGGGUAGGUCUCGGCUUUCCGCAAACGUUGCGUAUAUUUCUGAAAAGUGGAUUUAAUCGAAUUGUCUUACUGAGAAAUAGCAGGAGUAAAUAGUUACGGAUUUUAAAUUUCGAUAAAAAUGCCCUAUUCUACUAUUGUUCUUUGUAUACCAACACAUACUUUUUAACCUAGGUACCCACUUGACUAUUCUUGUUUUGCCGAUUUCAUAUUAUUACCAUUCAACAUUACAUUCGUCAAAACCAACGCCUAAUAGGUUAAAAAAAAAAAAAGAGGACCAAAAAAUGAACCACUUAUUUUUUUGUUAUUAGAUUGACGUUUCUGGAGAUCUUCAGAAAUAGCUAACUGGGAAUUUAAUCCUUUAUCGAGUUACUUCGGCUACAUUUUGAUGGGUACAAAAAUUGUAUUGUCAAUCCAUUUUUAUGCUAUUUUAGUUUUUUUCGGAUGUUCUAAGAUACAUACUGUCAAAGGUUUUGUCGACAGUUGAACGCUGUCGUCACAGAUUGAAUGUUGACGGAGCGCAAACGAUUUUAUUUUAUUGUCACGCUAAUCAGUGGCCGUUAUUACAAGAUUUAUGCGAACUCAAAAGAGUACUCAGUUUCGUAAUUACGCUCUAUAUGCGAUAAUUUAGUUUUGGGCUUUUCUCACCAGAAUAAUUAUAUUCUCCGAAUGUAGGUAGGUAUACAGGCAACUAUUAUACUUUCCGUGUUAGGUAUAUACAUGUAUUUUCAAGUGGCCAAACGUCUUGUUUUAAAUAAUUACCUCUAUAAAUUACCCGUAGUACCUUUGUAAUAUUAGGUUAGGUUGGGUUUAGUAAAUUUCUGAAAAACACGAAAAUCGUUGUAAUUAAUAUUAUGUGAAAUAUGUCAAUUGUCUACAUGGUUUUCUACGAUAUUGAAUCUACUUAAAAACAGAAUUUUUUUUUUAUUUUUCUUAAGUCUUAAGUUAACUGAAUAGUAUUAUAAAUUACCUACCUAAUGAAUAGAUAUUUAAUUUUGAACGGCAGGUUGACAGGAUGGCGGAUCAAGUGACCGUUAAUAACGUGCGGUGUAAUAUAAUGAAAUUGUUUGUUUUAUGCAAUCUAAUUAAUAAGCCGUAGUUGAGUACGAGAAAAAAAAAACAAUUAUUUUUUUUUUAUCAGGAGUAAGUAUUUUAUCACUUACUAACAAAUUAUGAAUUGAUAUUAGGAACUGCACACAUUUACGCUGUACAUUGAUUCUUAAAAUAAUCGUCGAAUAACUUUUUUUUUUUUAGCGAUUGCAUUCAUUUUUAGUGCAUAUUAGUGUAUUUUAUGAGGUUCUAACGUAAAAUUAAACUUAAUAAAGUAUAAUUUUCUUAAAAAAAUUGUUUGUUUUAAAUUAAUAUGAAUUACUUAAGUAUUCGAAAAUUAAACUUGUAUUUUGGAUUUGUCAAUACACCUAUUAUGUCCUUUCAUUUUCGGGUCAUGUUUUGAAGACAUUAUUAUUGUGGUUAAAAGUAAAUUUUCGUAUCACACGAUGUCUCCUAAAAUCCUAAACUUAUCUUAAUUAUUUGUGUGGUAAAAUAAUUCGAUAUUUUUUCAACUAAUAUUUAGAACAUCAAAUUUCGAUCGCUUUUUGUAUACACUAUAAACAAAGAUUUACUAUUAUUUUUAUGACUUGAUACAUUAAAAUUGUAUACUCUUUGACUGUACACAUAAUUACACUAAAAUUGUAACCAUAAAUUGAUAUAAUUACCAAAUAAAUAUUAUUUGAAGUUCAUAUUACAAUUUUUUAAGAAUGUUAAAUUUAAGUUAUUCAUAUUAUGUUAAAUAAUAUGAAUUAAUAAUAAUAAAAAAAACGAUCUAAUAUUUCUGCCGGUUUGCAAUCUAUUUUAGGCAGGAAAUUGAAUAAUUAGGAUAUGUAGAGUUAUCUUAUUUACAUUUGGAUGCAGCGAUAAAUCGUUACUAACAACAGACGUUUCUGAGCGAUGUUUAAUUAAAUAUAUUUAAUAUGCCGUUAUUUUCAUCAACAUUUGAAUUUAAAAUAAAUCGUAUAAAAAAAAAACUACCUAUAUAAGGUUCGAAUUUUUUUUUGAUCACUUAGUAUAACUUACUAUGGACAUCGUGUAAAAUUUUCAAACAUCUCUGCUCACCAAAAUAAUACAUUUUAUCCAUAUAAAAUCAACUAAAAAUAAGAGCUAAAACUGGGGACCGACUUAGCCACUGUUGUAGGUGGGAAGUUGAGAAGAUAGUAUACUAGGGUGGUCCUUAGACUAUAGAUGAAAAAAUUUUGUUUUCGAUUUUUGAUUGGGCUACCACUGAAAUUUGUUCAAACCCACAAAAAAAUGUAUUUUGUAAAGUUUCGUAAUAAUCGGUAAACCUUAAGGCGUGCCUCAAGAGGGUUGAAGUUCAAAUAAGGGUGAUUUUUAGAUUUUUGUAAUUUUAGUCNNNNNNNNNNNNNNNNNNNNNNNNNNNNNNNNNNNNNNNNNNNNNNNNNNNNNNNNNNNNNNNNNNNNNNNNNNNNNNNNNNNNNNNNNNNNNNNNNNNNNNNNNNNNNNNNNNNNNNNNNNNNNNNNNNNNNNNNNNNNNNNNNNNNNNNNNNNNNNNNNNNNNNNNNNNNNNNNNNNNNNNNNNNNNNNNNNNNNNNNNNNNNNNNNNNNNNNNNNNNNNNNNNNNNNNNNNNNNNNNNNNNNNNNNNNNNNNNNNNNNNNNNNNNNNNNNNNNNNNNNNNNNNNNNNNNNNNNNNNNNNNNNNNNNNNNNNNNNNNNNNNNNNNNNNNNNNNNNNNNNNNNNNNNNNNNUUCAAAUGUUAAACAUGUCUUUACAGGUUUAUUAUUCACUCGGUUUUAGACGUAUUAUUUAUUGUUUAUAUUAAUUCGAACAUUGUCGUCACAGCUCAGUUUAUAAUUGUCCACACACCAUCGACGAACAGACUUUUUGAUUUUAAAAAUGGACAGUAAAAUCAAUAUACGUAAACGUAUUUAUUUAAUUGGUACUAGUUCUCAUCAACUGGUUGGAUGCAAGUUACCAUCAAACAAACAAGUUUUAUCGGUCCUAUUUUUUAAUAUUCGAGAAGUCAAGUUAAGUUUACGUGAAAGUGCGCGGUUAGUGAUUGACGAAACGUUAAUAUUUUGGCAAAAAGCCCGAACACGUACUAGGGAAGUUCGUAAUUGUGUACCAAUGUUGGAAGAGUUGUACAAUACAUGGCGAAGUUUGCAGAAAAAUUCAAGUCGGAGAACAAAUACUCAAAUGAAAAAUGAAAAUGAGUUUGUACAAUGUUUUGACGAACUAUUCGACAUUGCCCAUGCAGAUGCAUUGGAUAUAAUGACUAUUGACAUAGACAAACAGUUUUUAAUUACUCAGAGACAAAAAGGUCCUCCAGGAGCGACGAUGAGCGUCGAUUGGAUAAGUCAAAAAAGAGAAUUUAAAAGAUCUAUUUCAUAGGUUUAACAUAAAAACAGAUUUUUUAAAUGAAGAUUCCGUAUUAUGGAAAAGUAAUCAGCACUAUAUACAAAGACUUAAUAAAUUUACCAAUUUAAAAGUUGUUGAUGACGCAGCAGAACGAGGAGUGAAACUAAUGAGUGAUUACAAUAAUUUAAUCACUAAAACAGAAGAUCAAAAGUAAUUUUUAAUUCAGACCAUACAUGAUUACCGGCAAAGAUAUCCCAACGCUAAAAAAAAUACACUAAAAAAUUAUUAAAUAAUAUUACUAAAUAUUUAAUUAUGUCAUUUAUGUAUAUUAUUAUUUAAAUAUUAUUUGUGUUUAAUUUGAAUUACAUAUGUAUAACAUAAUAUAUAAAAUAUAGGUACACAAUACGGCAUAUUAUAUUUAUUAGGUAUUUAAUACUAAAAACUAGUUUUUUUUUUUGUUUUUUUUUUGGGGGGGGGAGGGUGAAUAAAAAAGUACCAGUAACAUUUUAUAUGGCAUAUUUAAUUUAAAAAAUAUUUAAUUCCUAUACUUUUUUGCCUAUCUUAAUUAUUUUAGACUAAAAUUAUAAAAAUCGAAAAAUCACCUUCCAUUGAACUUCAACCCUUUUGAGGCACGCCUUAGAGUUGAACAAUUACUACGAAACUUUACACAAUUCAUUUUUUUAUGGUUUUAAACAAAUUCCAUGGGUAGCCCGAUCAAAUUUUUAAAAAAAAUUAUAAGGACCACCCUAUAGUAUACAUAAGGUUAUUUCAUUUAUAUCUGUAAGCAACGAUAAACCAUUACUAACGAAAGACGAUUCCGAGCGCAGUUCGGUAAUACAUAAUUUGAAGUGCCAUAAUUUUUUUUUGCGUUUUUCGUUUAAAUUUGAUUUCAAAAUGCUUAUUAAUAAAAAAAAUUCAACAUAAAUAUGGUCUCUUGUCGUUUUUUAAUUUGAGCCAUAUUUGUGCUAGAAAACGUGGUAGGUAUUUAUUAAAAAUAAUGAAAUUGUAAAAAAAUUGUAUUUUUUUCGCGGUUAAUCAUUUUUAUUUUAAAUACCGUUUCGAAAAUCAAAAAAUAACCUAUGUAUUUACCAAGUAAAUAAAAUUGACUUUCAUAAAAGGUGUUACAACUAAACAUCAGAGCAAAUUUACUAGGAAAAAAUGUAUCCACUGACUAGAAAAAUAAAAAAAAAAAAUAGCAUUGUAAAACCAAUAGCUCCCUCGCUACUCGGAAUCUAAAAUUCGAAAAUAACAAAUAUCUUUAAAUAACUCAAAACAAAUUUAACACACGUAGGAAGAUUAUAAUACCAGUGUACUAUACACGCACCUUCCUACACCUUUUUUUUCUUUUUUUUUUUUCAAAAAAUUUACUGUACCUCUUGUUGUAUUUUUAUAAAUGGUAUUUGUAAUAAGUAACAAAGUUCAAGAUAUCGGAAACUCAAUACUUUGCUCAUUUCACCGGGUUUUAUUUUCGUUUCCGAUCCAAACACAGUUUCCCGGUAUGGUAAAAUGUAAUCUGAUAUAAUCGUCAUCUAUUUGUCUAUAUUAUUGUCAUGUGCAGUACCAUUCGAUACGUAUUAUUUAGUAUUAUUCGAUACGAAAUAAAUAGUUUUAAUAUUUUCGUUGGGCAUUAUAGGUAAAAAGAAAAAAAAAUAUACAUACACACAUAUAUACGAAAUCAAUCACUCAUUUUCCAUUGACGCGUUUUUUUUUUUUUUUACGGGUAUAAUUUAUUCAAACAAGUAUAAUAUUUGCCUCGAGUGUUGGUUAUGUACGCGUUUGUAUGUCCAUGUGGUCGUAUUAAUGUAGCGAUGCUCGUAUAUUUACGCAAUCCAAAAUGUCGCUUCUAAACAUCGCAAUAGUUUUAUACAUCGAGCUGUCAAUCUCAUAUUAUAAUAUUUGUUAUUAGUGUUUUAACAUAUUAUAUUAUUAUUGUCUUUAUAUUAGUUUUUUUUUUUUUUUUAUUAUUAUUCGAAAUUACGGCGUCUAAAGUAUUAUAAUAAUAUGUGCUUAAUGGUAUUAAAAAUCUGAAGUAACGCCAUAACGUACGACGGUGUAUGGUUAUCUCAAUGGAUCUGAAGAGUGUAUUAAAAUAAUAAUAAUAAUAUAAACAAUAUUUACUAAAGAGUGGAAAUAGAUACUUACAAGUAUGAGCAUCUAUAUUUACUAGAUUAUAACGUUUAUAACAGGGUUUAAAAGAUUAGGCGUAACACUAAGCGUUACACUAGCAAUAACAUAAUAUUAUCAUCGUUAUUAUUAUUUAUUUAUUUUCGAUGCCGAAGUGUAACGUUAUACUUGGUUUUUUGUUUUGGUAAGCGUUCUAAGUUCAACUUUUGACGAAAAUCAUAUAAAUUACGACAUUUCAAAACACGCGUAACCGAAUUUCGUUCAGAAUCGUAUUUUAUUAACAAUUAUUUAUCACUAAGUACAGAUACAAAUUAAAUAGUUCUAUACAUCCUACCUUCUAAACUUUCCGUUUAAAACAGUGACGAUUUUCAGUUUCAGAACGUAUAGCAAUGAGUUUUACUAUGUGUCGAAAUGUGCUUUAUUGUUUGUCUAUAAACAACUUUUCUACGUGAUUCUAACGAGAUUUUAAAAUCUAAAUUCAAAACUCUUAUCAAAAUAAAUUGCUACAGAUUUUUAAUAUUUAUUUUAUAUAAGUUACCAUUGUUAAAAAGUCAACUUAUAUACAGCAUAAUAAAGCAACUUGGUCAAAUUUUCGAGCAUUUAUAUGAAACCAUAAUAAUUUUUUUCAGAAAAAGACUAGAAAAUUUCAAACAGCUAUGGAUAAUUCGGAAAAUGCCAAAAUAUUUUGAAAAAUCGUAAUACAUCUAGAAAGUGUUAAUAUAGUAAUCGAAUAGUGUUUGCUAAAAAUCUCCAGUCCCUUCGAAUAUUACCAUUAUUACGAAAUAAAAUAUUUAACCUCAAAAUGCAUUUAUUCGAUAAAAAUUUAAAAUCUGCUACAAGAAACAUUCCCUGUUGGAUUAAUAUUGAUGAUUGGAUCAAGCAAUUGGUCAAACUGAAAAAAAUACAUUUAAAAUGUGGAAUACUAUUCUUAAAAUAACUAAUUGGGUAAAUUGGUGCUAAAAAUCUUAAUUGGGAUUACAAAGUAUAAUUACUGAUAUCUAUAUUAAGAGGUAAUUUUUAAAUAAGCUAUAAGUUACACCACCCAUAUUUGUUUCAAUAAUAAUAAUUAACUAUAACCUAAUAAUAAUAAAGAACCACAUUCAACGAAUUCAACACAGUGCAGUCUUUAUAACACCGAGCAGCUAUAAUCCUAUAUCGACUUUGCCUACCCCUACAUUUCUCACCGUUGACUUUUUUUCAUAAUAACGCUUUCAAAAUAAGAAAAACCGAUAAAAAAGAAGUUUAAUUUUAUAAUCGAAUAAGAUUUAAAAUUGACAAUAACUAAUUUUUUGAAAACGUAAAACUUAUUAUGUAUUGUUAUUAUUUUUUGUAUUGCGUAAAAAGUUUGGACAAACCACGUUAAAGUUUAAUUAUUCUAAUUGAUUAAUAAUAAUGUUAUUAUAUUUGAUACUUUCAAAGUUCUUUUUAAUAAUUAUACCUAAAAAGGUGAGUGUUGCCGAUGGUUAUGACAAUGUUUUAAAAUAGAAUGUAAUAAAAAUAAAAUUAAUAAUUAUAAAUAAGUAAUUUUAUUUAUAUCUGAACGUAACGAAAACCCAUUAAUAUUGAAAAACGAUUCUGAAUACAGAAUUAUAAGUGGUAUUUUUCCCCUUGUGGCUAAAGUAACCUAAAAAUCAACUGUUUUUGUUUGUUAGGAAAACUUAAAGGAAAAUCAAACAAUUGACCAUCAUAAUUCAACAGUUAGAUAAAAAAAAUCUAAAAAAUUGUCCCCAAAAAAUUUAGACAAAUAUUUCGGGUCAAAUGAUCGUUUUUAGCCACCAAAAAAAAAAAAAACACAUAGUAAAACCAAGAUCACUCACAAUAUAAAAUAUAAAUAUAUUUUUUUAUCAUUUCGAAUAGAGGAUAUAUGGACAUAUGCAAUAUUAAAGUUAUGAAGUUAUUAAGUUAUAAAAAACAUGAUAAGAUAUACAGGAAAUAAUCUAUACAUUUUAAUAACUAGUGAGACAAAAAUAUAAUACAAAUUAUAACUGUAGGUACUAAAUUAUAGAUUUCGAAUUAUAAUUUUCGAUUUCGAGGGUUGGUUGUAUUACAAAUAAUUCCAUAUAAUAGGUAAUAAUUCUAUUUUUUAGUAUAAAUAAAUGAAACGAUAUGUAUUUUUAAAUUAUUUUUCUUCAAUCCUACCUUUUUAUUCGUCUAUUUUAAAUUUAUGUAUGUAGAUAUGUCGAUAUAUUUGAUAGAUGAUUGCAAAAAACAAAAAUGCCAGAACAGUUUUUUAGGUAUGUAUCGAAAGAAAAAACUAACUUAUUUGAAGUAAAUUAUUAUGUUAGAUGUAGGUACUAGGAUGCGUUUAAGUAUCUAUUCUAUAAACUUAUAACAACUGUUUUUUAUACUUUUCACGAUGACACAAAUAAAUAUCCUGUUAGAAUGUAUUGCUAUAUCAAUCUUCCUUAGACAUCCAUCUGGUGUAUAUUCGAUUAAACAACAUCGUUACAGUAUGCAUAUCUGAAACGAAAUGUCAGUUAUGUUUUUUUUCUCUCAUAAAAAUUCAUAUGAAUGUGAAAACGAAAUGUUUUUGAAACGGUUCAUCGGAUAUGCGAUUUUUGAGGUUUCCCACAUCUGAUAUAGGUACAAGUCAACUCCCAUUAUUGUACUUGUCAAUAAAAUGUCCGGACCUCCAAUAUAUAUUAAUACAGAAUGCAGCUAAACUACUUCCUUAGUCUCAGAAAAAUGUUGCACCUAUCAGAGCGUAGCACUGUUGGGAUUUUAUCUGUAUAUUUGUAUAAUAAGUGAACGGCAAGUUUAUGUUACGUCAGGUUUCAACCACAAUUCGAUAUUUUUGACUAUUCCAACAAUCUGAGAUCGUCCACAUUCCUUUCUAACAACAAAUACUGUUUCUCGGGAGUUUUUUUUACCAACAAUGUAAUCGAUGUCCGAUCCUAAACUACUAGACCCGUAUUUAGGAAAAUAAGCUUUCACGGAAAAAUCACGUUGCUAGUUUAGUUUGUCCACGUCAUAAUUAUGGCCGAAACCCGUCGUAACAUAUAUACUUUUUAUCCAAUUCUAUGAGUAGGUACAAACCGCACCACUCUAUAGCCUCUGAUAACUGCCAUGCUGAAACUAAAGGUAGAGUUUUUCCGCACUGUGUAUACAUAAUUAUGUAGUUUUAAUAAGACACCAAAUAUUGUAAAAUAUCGAUGAUAUCUUAAUUAAAUAAAAUUAUUGUUUUAAACGGUUGCUAAAUUUUGAACAAACCACACUUGAAUUCAAAAUGGUAAAAAUCUAUAUUGAAAAACAGCAUGAUAUGAUAUGAUAUCGAAUAUCCAGUCGAAGUCAGCAACUACUCAACAAACUUUUUCAAAGAAAGUAGUUUAAAAAUUCAACUUAUAUUUAGUCAAGUACAAAACAUGAAAUAAAUCAAGUUUGGAUACAAUUGUUGGCAUAUAUCAUUAUUAUUAUUUGGUUCAUUGUUACUAAUAUUAUACAAAUACACGGAUUAAUUGCAAUAAGCAUUAUACUUGAUUCACUUUUGAUCUGGAUAUUUGAUUAAAAUACGAAAUAAAUAGCUCUAUAGUGCUCAAUAAUUUAGCUAAUUUCUAUUGCGUUCUUGAAUUGAAAUUGUUUUGAAAAAGAGAAAAACAUGAUGUAGUAAACUCAUUUUUGAUUUUGUUUUAUUUGUUGCAGUUUUGAACUGGAUAGCCUAUCUAUAGUAGAUACCAAUAAAUUAGUAAUAUAUAUAUAUAUAUUAUAAUAACGCGAACAACACAGUACAAUAUUAUUUUAUAGUAGGGUUAUGACGUUCGAUAAAAAACAAAAAAAAACUUGGAACAUUAUAACAUUUUGAUAAGUGUAAUUCGUCGGUGUCCCCUAUCCUUUUCACGUCCUUGUGUGUGUGUGUGUGUGUGUGUGUGUAUGUGACAGUAAGCAGGCGUCUGUCACGUACACUGUUAUUUAAAAAAAAAGUAUACUAUCGAGAACAAUACCCCAGUAUAUAUGAAAACGUGUGUUGUUUAAUGGUAUACAUUAAUUUAACGUACCUAUACCUACCUAUGAUGUAAACGUUGUUAUAAUAUUAUAUGAUAGUGUUUUAAUUGUCGUUAGGGAAUGAGCUGUAGUAUAAUUUUUUUUUUUUUUUAAUACAUUUUUUUUAAAUUAAUGGUAUGCCUACAAAGUGUGAUUGUGCUUCGUUUACAAGGACGACGAAUGCGUUAUACUUUUAUUUAUUAUUAUUUUUUUUUUCAAAGAGCGUAGCACCAAUAGGCAUACAUCAACUCGAUUAUCCCUGUUGUGUAAAUUUUGCCGAAACCGAGAUAUAAAAUUACAUUCAUAUUCGAAAUGUAUAUUGGUUAUUUUCUUUCCAUUAUUAUAUUCAACCAGUUUGAAACUAGAGGGGUUUGUAACAUUCGUUUGAAAAAUAAAUUAAUUUGCGUUCAUAUUAUUAUUAUUAUUAUUAUUAUUAUUAUUAUAAAUAUAUAUAUUUUUUUUUAUUAUUAAAAUAAUAUUUACAAUCGAUGCUUCAAGGCAUAAUAAGCAAAUUAUAAAAUAGGAAAGACAUGCACAACAAUGUUAUGAAUUAAACCCAGCGAAUGAGUUCAUAAAAAAAAAGUAGGUAAAUAAAUAAUUCGAGAAUAUAAAGAUUAAGCUAAUACGUUUUUAUCGUAUCUGGAUGGUUAACCGUUUAUAAUAAUAUACAAUCACCCGUGUUAAUUCUAUCAAUGAAUACCACUGAUUAAUACAUUUUAUACAGCGUUAUUAGUAUAUUGUUUUAUAUACCUAUACAAUAUACAAGGUAAUAUAACACAGGACAUAAGUACUAAUAAACAGCCAUUUGAACAAUAAACCAGUGUUUGCGGAUUGAAUACAUUAAUGUUACAUUCAAUGUCCAUUCACAUUAAUUAGUAAAAUAAGUGCAUUCUCGACCAUAAUUCAUGUACAGUGUACACUACACAUUUAAUGUAUAUUCGUGCGUCAUGGAGACGUCUCGUUCAUUCGAAACCCAGGACAUUAUGUAGGCAAUUAAAGUCCUACUUAAUAUUCAGUACAUUUUUUUAGUACCUACUCAAAAUCAUCAUAGUAAACUAUUGGAGAUCAGAGCCCAUAAAUAUAUUGGAAAAUUCAAAAUAUGCAUUUUUCUUUUUUUAUAUAAAAUUGGCAUUUUGAUAUCGUUAUUUUAACGAAAUGGACAUCUCUCGUUUUUGUUUAUGACCGAAUAUAAUCUUUGUACAAAAUUGAAUUUCGUUCCUUUAUUCGCUUUUGGUUGUAUUUACAGUUAACUGAUAUGUUUUUGGAUUCAACUAGUAAUUUUAAACCAUAUAGGUGCUAAAACUUAAUUUUUUCACAAAUUUCAGAAAACCUUUCAGUAAGUAUACAUAUAUACGUGUUCGAAGCGUCAUAUCUGGAAAAUUCGUAUUUCUAACUGCAUAAUGUUUUCAAGUAUUUUGACCGAUAAAGUUAUUUAUUUUAUUGUUAUUAUUAGAUUCGUGCUGUCUAGAGCAAUGAAUUUCCUGCGGGUGUCUUUAAAUUGAUGUAUUACAAUAUGGGCGGGGAUGCAUAUAAAAUGCUGGAACAAUUUUUUUCGAAGCCGUAUUUUGUUGGUAUUUUUUUUCUAAAAAUAAUUUGUCGGAAUGGUAUUUUAUUAGAAAAUUUUAGAUCGGAUUUUCGUGGCCAAUUCGGCAUGCCAUACAUCUCUGAAUAAAAAUUAUUUAUCCGACAAAUCAUAUUUUCAAAUAAAUACAAAAUACCCCGAUGAAUUAUUUUUCCGAUAAAACACAUUUCCAAAAAAAAAAAAAAAAACACUUUCCGACAAAUUACAUCCCUCUUCGUUUACUAGUCGUUAUGAUUGUACUUAAAACAAAUCGCAAUAAAUCUUGAAAUGUAGAUACGGAUUUCGCGUGGGUAACAGAUUGAGUUAAUAAAGAAUGUUGUAUUUUAUUAUAAUUUGAAUACAGAGAACAUUAUUUAUGAAAAUCGUCACAUCCGAUCUGUUUAGAUUUUAAACGUAGAUAUUCAAAAAUUCAAACGUCUGACUCGAAUUUAUUUUUGUCGGUUUUUUUUUUGUUCUCCUUUCUCGCCCCUCGUUUUUAUACAAUCGCGAUUUUCAGGCUAUAUACAAUCAAAUAACCCAUUUAAAUUACCGUAAAUAUGAAUAUUUAUAUCCGAAUAUUUACUGUACGGAGAGAUAACUUAUUCGAACAUUUCUACAACCUUAAAACAUGAUUACUGGUGUGAGGAAAAAAAAGAACACUAUAAUAUUACCGUCGUUACAUUAAUAUUGGCCGAGCGAUUUUCAUAGGAUCCAAUGCGGCGCAAAACGCUUCUACGUUUAUUAUAUUAUUUAUAACGUUAAAAGUUCGAAAUUGUUGUUACGCAAACAAUUUCAAUUUAUACACCUGCAUUUUUAAUAAAAAUUGUUUCGUCGUAUUUAAUGUUAAUAUUAGGUGGAAUGGUGGCGAUCCCGUCAAUAAAAAAAAUAAAAUAUUUUCUACGCUAUACAUUAUAAAAAAUAUCAUUCAUCGUUAAUUCGCAUUAUUAUGUAUAGUAAUAAUAAUAAUAAUUCACGAAAAUUACAAGUUUGUUUGGAAAAAACCUACAGUUCAUUAUUAUUCCAAGUGAGUGGUUUGCAUACGUUUAUCCACGCACCUACAACUCCGAUACACCUAUGACAUCAUAAAUACGAGGACUGUGCUCAGGGAAUAAGAAAAUAUAUCCUAGAAAACAUGGGAGAUGUAAGCAUAAUGCCACGGGAGAAAAACGAAUUAUCGAUUAUUCAUCAUAAUCAUGGGCAUUUUAUUGACCUAAUUAAUUAUUUACGAAUUAUUGAAAUUUAAAUUCCAUAAUAAUAUUUUUUUUGGUCUUUGGAAAAUAAAAAUAAAAUUGUAUUUUUCGAUGUUAAAUAUAACAUCGAACCACCUACUAAACAUACUACCUACUAAGUGACACGAUGUCAGGAAACUGAAAAAAUACUAUAAAUUCUAUAAAUCGCCGUCCAUUUACUAUCCAGACUCUAUGUUGCAUACAUCACCAUUUUUAUAUCCCCUCCAAAUGCCCUCGUGUCUCUUUUACUCCCUCAAAUUCUUCUUGAUAUUCUCGUUUCGCUUUGUAUUCCUUUAUUCACCCUCACGAGAAUCUCGCCUAUUUUUGAGUUAUUGAAUAUCAUUGUGAUUACUCUAUUGUCUUGUACCACACCGUAUUAUAACAUACGUACUUGAAUGUAUAUUUACCCGAUUUUUAGUUUGACCUCUGAACAUCAAUAAAUUGUUUUGAACUUAUUGUUUAUACAAAUUAUUUUUAGUUUUUAUGUGGGUAAAUUUGUUUUGGCCGAGCAGAAAUGAUUGACAAUUUUACACGGGGUGAUUGUUCAUAUUAUGGGUUGUACUUAUAGUUGUUCAAAAAAAAAAAAAAAAACCGGAUAUACUUCGUACGGAUCGGCCACUGUUGUAGGUGAGAAUUUAAGAAGUCAGAGGGAAAAUUGAAUGUACAACUGUAAAACGAUUAAUCAUUACUAACGAAAAACGAUUCUGGGAGGAGUUCGGUUAUACAUGUUUUGAAAGGCCGUAAUAUUUACGAUUUGAAAUAAUACAUUUCGUACAAUUUUCUGUUUUACUUAUUUUUUAUGAAAACCUCUGUAAAAAUCAAAAAAUUGCCUCCUUAUUUUAUCGCCCCAGUCAAAUUUCCUUCAGUGCUACACUUGAAAAUCUUUAAAAUUGCUAGUAGAAAAGUUAUACACAGUAAAAAAAAAAAAAAAAAUAAACAUCAUUGUAAAACCGUAUUAUUUUUUUUUUUUUUUUUAAGCGUUUCAAAUUUAAAUUUUGACGAAAAUUUCAAAACAUGUUUUUAACCGAACUUGGCUCAUAAACUUUUUUCGUUAGCAAUGGUUUAUCGCUGCGUGCGGACACAAAUUAAACCAUUUUACGUAUCCUAUAUUAUCGAAUUUCAUUAUUUUUUUUUCAUUUUUUUCAUAAAUAAAUAAGUAAUAAAAUAUUCCCACUCAGCCGUCGCCCGUCUCCCGUACCGUUCGAUCGCCCGUCCACCGACCCAAUCCCGACUCGUCCGAUUUGUUCGUUCUAGAAACGGAUUGCACGCGUUCUGCGCGGUUUAAUGUCGUUUCAAUACACGGUUACACGGUUUGUCGUUACUCGAGAAAAUUCCCAUCGCGGCACCGAGCAUCGAGAGGAGGGGGGGGGACGCAUAAUAAUAUUACGGCACACGCGUUUUUCGUGUGGCGCGCGUGUCUCGGUACGCCGCGUAAAUCCGCCCGGAAACGUCGCGGCGUACAUAUUAUAUAAUAUACGAAUUGUAUUGGGCAGCAUUCCAGGGACGAUUCUCCCGCUCACCUUUCCCUUCCCCCCUAACCGCGGGGUUAAUAACCGCCGUCUCUACCCGCGCGGCAAGCCCGAAACGCAAAUAAUUAUAAUACAGAGAGUCGCUCCCCGUUCAAAUGCCCCGUCUCUCGACACCGCUGCGCGCUGCACGGUGACAAAUGGGAUGCGCGCGUAUAUUGUCGCGUCGCCCGUCCUCGGGACGCGGAUGCAUGUAUGCUAACCUAUUAAUCGUUAGUCGCGCGGAUUAUUUCGGUUCGAAAUCGUAUUAACGGACGGACGCGCGUCGUGUACAAUAAUGAAAUAACGUGACGUAUGACCGAGGUGUGAACUCACGUCAGGUAUUUUAACGGGCAAAAACGGCAAUGAACAAAAAAAACAAAAAUCUUCGUAUUUUUAUUUUGGGCGACAUUUUUUUUUUUUUAUGUAAUAAUUUUUUAAACAACUGUCGUUAUUUUUUCGCUCGUUUUCUGAAAAUGGGACGUGUCCCGGAGAUUCUCCCUGGGGACAACGGAAUACAGGUACGAAAAACAGAACGUAUAUGUUCAUCUUAUAUAUAUAACCGCAAUAGUCAUUCAUUCUCGCUAGAAACAAUAAUGACGACGCAAAAUUACUGGACAUUUUAAUGAAACCUCGCGGCUCGCUGUGCAAAGCCCGCGGUUCGAACGAUCCAAUUGUUUUGUUUAAAUAUUUGAACGUUUAAAGCGUGUCGAACUUCAGAAAUGUGUUUGAACAAAGGUCCGGACUAUGUCCGCGCGUUUAAUCGAUUGCAUCUAUGGUUUCAAACGAAAUUAUUUAUAUAUAUAUAUAUAUAUAUAAAACAUCGAUUAAUCGAACAAUCGAUACAUGCUUCGUUCAACGUAAUCAUCUAAAGGUAGCGUUUUGCCGCGAUGGCCGUAUACUUAUGUGUCGUUUACCACGUUUCUCAGCUCUAAAUAUGAUGUGGCAUCCACGAGACGCUUCAGAUAUUGAAAGAAUGAAGUUUUUGUGCCUCUAUAGAUUUUCUCCCCAUGUUAGUAUAGUUUCCCCAUUCAAUAUAUGUUCCGUAAAAUUCCUUUGUUUUUCCUACGUCUAUGUAACGUCAUCUCGUUUAACUUUCUUUAAAUCCACGAUGCCUUGCUCAUUUUUCUCCAGAUCCAUCGUUUCCACACGACCCGAACUUUUCGUAUUUUCUGAUGGUCCUGGUUUCACAAUCAUCUAACAACACUCUUUACGUGAAUGUUUUAAUGGACUUUUUCCUAGUUUUGAUGUUGUCAUAUUUACUAGUCAACAGGUAAUAUAUUGUGUACAGUCAAUUAAUCGGAUAUUUCGAUAGUAUCGAUACUCGAAUAUAACGACGAUACGGUUUAAAUAUUGUCUAACUUAAAAGGUAGGGAACAAUUUUAUUUUCUGUCAAUUACCGUUGUCUCGUCGUGAUUUCACUGUAAUAUAGUCUUUGAAAAAUAAAAAACAAACCAAUACUGAUUUAAUCAAUAAUUUCGAUACUAAUGAUAGUGUCGAUUCAUUGAUAAUAUCGAUAAAUACAUAUUUCCAGUGUACGGCUAUGUAAAUAUAUCGUAUGUUUUACGGUUUAAGAGGUCACACAAAACAAUGUUUGGAGUUGUGGUUUGGCCGCCCUAAUAUUUGUAAAUAGUUAGGAACGUCACCGGUGAUGAGCGGUCCGCUUUUCGAGAUUUUCCCCGCACUCCACCCUCCACCCAUAGUAAUAUUAUCUAAUUUAUUCACUGGCUGUUCUCAAGAGUUAACAUUUCAUCAAAUUCCAUGUUGACGGAUCCCAGCGAACCGCGUUGUGCACGACAGCGGAUCACCAUAAUUAUAUUUAAGUAUAGUAUUAAAAAAAAUAAAAAUUAAGGGUAGUUUUAAUUCUGUUCGAAUCUUUUAGAAACUCGAUUUUCACCGGUGGGAAAAAUCAACAGCUGAUUGUAUAAUUUUAUAGAGCGACAUCAAAUUUUAUCGUUAUAAACUUUCGGAUUUUUGUUAUUUUUCAGUUACAAAAAACCACGACCGCGUUCUCUAUAUAAGGUGGUUUUCGGCCUUUUUUAUAUGUCAACGCCAAAAUGUAUAUCCAUAAAAAUGGUGACCCACUUAAAAGAAUCAAUGGACCUUAAUCCUUAAAGCUGCCCGACGUAUGUGACAAAAAUUUAUAUCAAAUUUCAAAAACAAUGUUUUCGUGACACACUCAUGUUUCGUCACAUAACAGUUGUGAACUACUGCAGCUUUACAUUCUCUAAUGACAGAAAUUAACAGUGUCUCGAUAGUAUAGUGACCCGAACAUGGUGAAAAUAACAUUUUUAUAGACUUUGUACAAUUUCCCGACUGAAACAAUUGUGCGACCUGAUGGCAAACAAUAAUGUAUAGGCUAAUAACUNAGCUACCCAACGUAUGUGACAAAAAUUCAUAUCAAAUUUCAAAAACAAUGUUUUCGUGACACACUCAUGUUUCGUCACAUAACAGUUGUGAACCACUGCAGCUUUACAUUCUCUGACAGAAAUUAACAGUGUCUCGAUAGUAUAGUGACCCGAACAUGGUGAAAAUAACAUUUUUAUAGACUUUGUACAAUUUCCCGACUGAAACAAUUGUGCGACCUGAUGGCAAACAAUAAUGUAUAGGUAUUACUGACGAGAAAAGUAAAUAGUAACAUUUUUUUAUUUAUUUUACUAAAUCUAUUUUCAACGCUAUUGUUUACGACAUCAAUAGAUACUUAUAUUUAAUAAUCAAUUUACAACUUGUUACUGACGGUCUAUGUAGAUUUUAUUUUAAUAAGGACGAUCACUAGUAGGAUAAUUUUUUUUAUCAGUCAUUUCAUUGUGCCAAUAAUUUAAUGUUCAAUAAGUUCAAGUUAAAUUAAACCGGAUUAUUAGUUUAUAGGAUAAAAUAAGUUUUUUAAAAUUAACGGUUUUGCCGCAGAUGGAAAAAUAGCUUAGGUUUCGUCCCAUCCCGAAUAAUAAUAAUAUCACAAAUUAGAGCGAAUAAAUGCGACAACCUAUGUACAAAUGUAAAAUUAGUUUCAUUAAUUUGGGCGGCACGCCGUUUAACUAGAUAAUGGCUGUUACCGCGUAUAAUUUAAGCUGUUGUUUUUUUUUUCAACGAAAAUUGUUAAUAUACAAAAAAAAAACCGCCGGUUAAUGUACGUUUUUCAAUUACCGGUUGCACACGUCAAAAGACGAAAUGCAGAACAGCUGGAAAGUGUAUACAUAUAGAGGUAGUAUUAUAAUACUAUACAAUAUUAUACAUUCUACGUAUUAUUUUUAUAAAAGUAGGUAUAAUGAACAAAGAAGCACAAACCGUGGAGAUGAUUAUUCUCGCGCCGCGGGGGCAAGUUCGUUCGCAACAAUAUCGUUAUAAUAUAUUGUUGGGCAGGGCAGAAAACGGCCGAACAAAAAAACCUAAACUCCUUAUAGUAAAUUUCUAAAAGAAAAAAAAUCAAUUACAAAUUCCGUGCUAAAUAAUAUAAAAUGCCGACACAAAUACGAAGUACCUCAUUAUUAGAUCAUAUUGUUUACAACGGACAGAGUUAUAAGCAAUAAAACGUGUCGCUAAAAUAUCAAGAGGAUACUUCACUUUCGCGCAUGUGCGGAGUACUGUUAUCAGUCUUAUCACAACCUACCCAAUGAAAUAUCAUAGUGUCGUAAUAAAAUAUAACUCUAUAUAAAAUAAUACACAUCCGAACAUCCAACAUACUAGGUUUUAAUGGUAUUAUGAAGAGGGCAACGCAUGCGCAGUAGCUACACGCUCUCUUGAUACGUUGGCGACAUACUCAUUUCACAUGAAGUAUAGUCGUAGCUCUAUCCAUUUUAUAUGAUUUAAGCGAACUACGAGUAUGUUAUUAUUAAACAACGAGUAUAACAAAAUGUUUAUAACUUUAAGGUUCGGGUUUCGAUGCAAAACGCAUUUUGCUCGGAGUGAUCUAAGACUUUCCAAACCCACGUAAUUCGAUUCGUAUACCGAAGAGAUGAUUUAAAAGUGAAACUUUUAUUUUUGUUUUUUCGCCGUUUCUAUUUUUAGAAUUUUUUUAAUCAUUUUUAAAAGUAUUAUGUCGUAUAUUUGACUAGUUUUUAGAGCGUUUUUCGAUAGCUUUUAGGAGAUUUAAAUCUUCACGCUAGUAAUAAUGUUAAUAGUGUGCCAGUAUAAUUAAAUUAGUGGCUUAGUCCAAGCUUUUUGUUCUCAACCUUUGAUUUUAGUUUAGACUUGUGUUAUUUACCGAUGUAUUCAAAUCAAUGUCUGUCGUGGCGUAUAAAUUAUAAAUUGAAUUAACCUUAGUUCACGUCUUACACGAACAAAAACACGAAUAUUUAAGGAGACUACAAUCAUUAAAAAAAAAAUUGGUAUUUAAAUUGGAAUACUAGACAAAAGUUUUGGUUUUGGAUUUGAUGGAUUGUAAUUUCGAAAGAAAAUUUGGAUUAAUCAACGAGUUUCUUAGAUGUUAAAUAAUCUAAAAUAUAAAUAAAAUACUACUUUUUCGUUUAUCAAUAUCGGCAGUUAAAAAAAAAAAAUAACGUUAAAAAUCGCCUUCGUAAACUUGUUGAUCAAACAUGUAUAUCGGGCAGUAAACUUAGCGGAAAUGUCGUACCGUUAAAGUAGUCAUUAAAAUGUAAACACUCGUUUCAAUUCUCGUUUACAAGAUUGGAGACGAUUUUUAAAACCGACUUCUACGCUAUUAAGGGGAUUAUAUAUUUUGUCAAAUAUGUCAACAGAUUUCAAUUUAAAUUACAAUGAUUUUCUGAAUCGAUGUUAAAAAUAUACAGCCGAACUUUAAUAAUUGUAAACCGUGGAAAUCUAGGAAAAACAUUCGUGUUAUUUAAUCAAAUACAGUUUUUCGGCCAGAUUGGUAGGCAGGUAAAUUUGAAUUUUCCAAUCGUUAUCGCGGAUACAUAUUCGAUUUACACGUGGAACAUCGAUUCGACGACUAUCGAAACUCAUACUGUCCUGCUCCGGCACGCGUAAUGUCUAAGCGGUAUUGUAGACCCUCCUCUCAUCACCCCUCUCACCACGAUCAAUAUCGGCUAAACGACAUGUGCGGUAUCAUGUCGGUACGUAUAAACUUCUGAAAUACUUUUAAUAUUUCAUAAAAUAUCCCGACACUCAGACACCCGUACUUCUCCGCCCCACCACCCUUACAACGGUUAUAUUUGUUUUCUUUACUUCUCUCGUGAACAACCUAAAAUAUAAUAUACCUUAUAAGUUUUUUAUUCGAUUUAUAGUUGCUUAUACGAAAACUUUUUGACAAGGAGGUGGGAUAAAAAAGGACGAUAAAUUUAAAAAAAAAAUCAAUUGUCGGAACACCAUCUCCGGGCACCGGUAACCGCCUGGUAUAGGUAUACGCGUACCGCGGUGAUAUAACGAUUCCGUCGGAUUUCGUGUACCG
rnacentral:lncRNA from 1 species